CUGAGAGCUCCUGGAGUCUGACUUCCGAAAAAGGGAAGGAAGGAUUCUUUUUUUGUUCCUUGUUUCUAUAAGGAGCGGAUCCACGGCAUUGCCAAACAACUUUUCACCCGAAAUAGGCGCUGAGGCAAGGUUUCACUUGUUCUUGGUGUCAGUUUGCCAAUGCUUGAGCCAAAGUAAUCGCCUUGCUGAUACUUGAGAUGCGAUGGCUCUAGAAGAAAACUUUACUGCAUUAAAGGUUGCGUCCACUGAAAAUUCCACCGCCGCAGUUUGGCAAUGUCCUAGUGUGCCCGUAUACUGGAGGAUGGGAUGGUUUCCUGCAGGUGGUGAAGCCAUCUGAGGGAAGACCGUGUGAAAAAAGAUGCGGCUGUGGUCGCUCUUAUAGCCCACGCAUCACAUUGAUGAGCCCUACGAAGAGCUAGUUCUACACUCUUAUCCUCCGGCUUAAGGGCCUCCUCCAAUUCACUAGGGAUAGCGGAGGGGGAAGCCAAAGCCACUAUCAGAUCAUCAACUGAGGGUGUGUUUAGGAAAUUGGAAAACUCAGGGGCAAGGUUAUAAAAUUUCCGUCAAAUCCUGUAGGGGCAGGGAUCACUGAUGUGGAAGCCCACUGUUUCUGCAGUCGGAAAACAUCUGCAGGACUGGUAUUACAUCAGCCUCAUUUACAGGCUGAGAAAAAACUAAGUCAUCUGCCUCUUCCUGUGAAUUUGGUUGCUGAGGAGAGGUAGUCGCUUUAUCAAGGCGCGCAGUUGUCUUGGCCUUGAAUAAGAAGCGAUCUGAAUAACUGCAGG